rnacentral:lncRNA from 1 species
CUCGCAUCAAUGCAAUCGGACUGGCUGUGGCCCCCAGGGACUGGCGUCUUUCCCCCAGCGUCAAGGUGGGGGCACAAACAGGCAAUGGGGAGCCAUGGGAGGAUAUGGAGCAAGAGCAUGGCGAGAUCUGGGUUGCAGUUGGAAGGCGCGUCCAGCUCUGCGUGGUCCGACCCCAGGUCGCCCUGCCUCACCCAAACCUGGAAAGUCUUGACUCUCGGCUGCACCUCCAUCUCCAGAGAGCAGGGCACUAUUAUCUCCCUCUCCACCCGGUUACCCACACGCAGAGCUGUGGCCAAUGAUGGAGCAUGGGGAGGCUGAACUGGACACCAGGUGCUGAAUCAAUGGCCCCUUGUCCACUCCAGAGCCAGGACAAGAACUCACGGGUCCUCACCUGAAUCGGCCACUGACUGCCUUGGGCAGAGACAUCGAAGUCUCUGAGCCUCAGUUUCCUCUUCUGCAAAAGGGAACUGCAGGGUUCCCAGUCACUUCCCUGGGCUGAGCGAGUGAGAAGUCAGGCAAGGAGGUUCCUUCCGGGGAAGUCUCCAUUGGGUGCCGGCUGGGGUCAGGAGCCCAGAGUCCUAGGCCCUGGUUUGCUCCUGGCCAUGUGUUCACCUCAUUCAUUCAUUCAACAAACAUUCAUU